UGGGAAGUGACUCAGGAGCCCUUUACCUGUUCACCUCCUUAUCAGCGAUCAGCUGACUUCAGUAUAAACAAAACACAAACCUAAUGGACAGUUACCGGUUCAUAGGUGGUCCGGGGGGCAUUCAAAAAUCGCCCUGAGGAUUACGUCACUGAUGACUUCAAGUAGAGUUUUAAAAGAUAUACAUGAGUUUUGGGAACCGUAAGUGCACCUUCAACAUAGUCCUCGGCUCGCGGCUGCUUUCUGUAGAGAUGUUAUAAAUGUCAAUGGAAUUCGUCUUUGCCGUUGUGAUAUUUGCAGGACUUGCUCACCUUUUUAUGAUUAUAGCGUACUGUCUAUUAGUGUGUCAGAAAAAUGGUGGAUGUAGGGUAAAAAGAAGCGACCCCACGAACGCUAGUACAGACGCCCCAACAGACACUUCUCCGGGCGUCGAUAGUGGUCACGUGGACACAGACAGUCACUCAGAUGCUACCCUAACCCACAACCAGCAAUCAGUCCUAGCAACAAACGACCAAUCACAAACAUUCCUGACAAACACGUGGGUUUCAAGUGUGAUGACACGAAUUCGACAUAUUGCUGGAGGGACGGAAACGAGGGAUGGCGAGAAUCACAGGAGAAGGCAUGAACAAGUCAAUAUGACCCUUGUACAUACAGAUAGUCCGCCCACGUAUGAAGAUGCUACUAAAGGAGGCGAUGUAUCGCUGGACCCUCCACCCUCAUAUGAAGAAACAAUGUUAGGUUCAUAAUCAAGUAUAUAACUUUGUGUAUUUAUUAUACUCCCGGGCUACGCUUGUAUUUAAGGAGGUAUUCUACAUCGUCAGAAUGACCGACUUCCUUUUAAAACAUGAAUGGAAAUAUAGAUAUCAACAAUAUUUGUCUAUUCAUUUCAGCUAGGGUUUGCCUAGCUGAGUAGCUUAGUAGAUUAACACGUGGACUGCUGAAGUGUAUAUCACGGGUUCGAGUCCACGAGGGUGUUUAAUUUUUUUUUUCCAGAUUUGAUCUCUACUAUUUGAAAGUUUUUAAUUUCAAAAUACUGUCGUACAUAUCCUACACUUUUCAUCCAUAUCAAAUUUCUCCACGACAAACAAUUUUUUUUUUUUUUUUUUUUUAUCAAAAAUGAUGAAAAUGGACACUAAAUAUUUUUAUAGGUAAAUUGAAUAGUAUUUACCAUAUGGAAUAUAAUUCAUUUUCAUGAUUUCCCAAUUAAGUCCACAUAAAUAUCCAAAUGGGUGGGGGGGGGGGGAUAUAUUUGAAACUUUUUAACAUCAUAGGAAAUACACAAGUUUAUCUUAUUAAAUAGGAAUUUUAUAUUUGUACUUUAUUUCCAUUAAACUAAGCCAGAAAAUAUGUAUCAGCCCAUACAUUUAUAUGUUAUUUCUGUAUCACGUGUCCUUAAUUAUAUUUUAUUGAAUUGAUCGUUGUGUGAGGUAUAUGUGUUUUGUGAAUAUGUACAGUUAUAUCAAUCUAAUUUCUAUGGAAACGAGGGAAUUAUUUAUAUUCGGUCUUUUCUAUCCCCCUCGUUUCCACAGAAAUUAAUAUCAACCCAUACAUUAUAUGUUAUUUUUGUAUCGAGUGUACUUUUAUUUGUGUUUUAUUGAUUUGAUUCUUGUUCGGGUAUGCGUGUUUUGUGUAUAUGUACAGUUUGUCUGUAUGUGAGUGAGAAAGAGAUCUGAUUUAAAGACAGAUUUAUUGCUGUGAUUGUGUAGUGACUUUGAAGUCAAGAUCUAAGAAAUUUGUGCAUUUAAAUCGGUUUUAUUUACAAAAUUAAACUAAAGAAAUAAAAAAUGAUAAUAAAAACAAAA